GACGAACGCUGGCGGCGUGCUUAACACAUGCAAGUCGAACGGUAAGGCCCUUCGGGGUACACGAGUGGCGAACGGGUGAGUAACACGUGGGUGAUCUGCCUUGCACUUCGGGAUAAGCCUGGGAAAAUGGGUCUAAUACCGGAUAGGACUCCGGACUGCAUGGUCUGGGGUGGAAAGCUUUUGCGGUGGGGGAUGGGCCCGCGGCCUAUCGGCUUGUUGGUGGGGUGAUGGCCUACCAAGGCGACGACGGGUAGCCGGCCUGAGAGGGUGACCGGCCACACUGGGACUGAGAUACGGCCCAGACUCCUACGGGAGGCAGCAGUGGGGAAUAUUGCACAAUGGGCGCAAGCCUGAUGCAGCGACGCCGCGUGAGGGAUGACGGCCUUCGGGUUGUAAACCUCUUUCAGCACAGACGAAGCGCAAGUGACGGUAUGUGCAGAAGAAGGACCGGCCAACUACGUGCCAGCCGCCGCGGUAA
rnacentral:rRNA from 1 species